GGGAGCUGCAGUGCUGCAGGGUGGUGAAGAGGGGCCUCCACAGACCACGGAUUCUCCAAUCAAGAACAGUUUCUCCAGUCUAAGAAAAUACUAUUUGCAGAGCAUUGUAUCUCUGCCUUUUUAUAGAGUAAUUCCUAUUUGGAGCUAGUGCAAUGUCCUAAAUAUGAAAACACAGCGGUUCUUAUAUCAGCUACAUAUCU